ensembl:snRNA U6 U6 spliceosomal RNA
GUGCUGGCUACAGCAGAUUCACUAAAACUGGACCAAUAGGAGAGGAUUAGUAUGGCCUCUAGGCAGGGGUGACACACACAUUCGUGGAGCAUUUCAGAUCAAA